AAUGGCUCCAAGCUGUGUCAGGGGAGGUUUAGAUUGGAUAUCAGGAAAAGGUUCUUCACCCAGAUGGUGUUUGGACACUGGAAUGGGUUCCCCAGGGAAGUGGUCACAGCACCAACCUGGCAGAGCUCAAGAAGUGUUUGGAUAACACUCUCAGGCACACGGUGUGACUCUUGGGGAUGGAGCUGUGCAGGGCCAGGAGUUGGACUUCAGUGAUCCUUGAGGGUCCCUUCCAACUCAGGAUAUUCUGUGAUUCUAUUUCUGGCACUUCUGUUGUUCAAGAUGCAGUGAAUGCAUCUUUAUUUAUAUUGACUGGACAGCAAACAACUCAAGUUUGCCCAGUAAAGAGCUAUGCCUUUUUUUUUUUUUUUUUUUUUUUUAGCAGGGACUGGUACAUCAAAGCACAGCUCUGGUAGCAAGUAUUCCUAGUUUCAGACCUCUUAGCUUUAGGAGCACUCAAUCACUCAGUUCUUUGGAUCUAUGUCCUGCUGAGUAAUUUCUGUGCCUAUCUCCUGUUUUGAAUCCCAAAGACUUUCCCUUAUCUGAUCCACCUUUUCUGAUGGACAAUCUGACUGUGGCUUGUUUGUCUCAGUGGAGAUGUCACUUGAAGGCAGCGCUACUGCAGCACGCCCAAAAAACAGUGAAAGGAAAGCUGUACUAUCUCCAGGAUGCCCAGGAGUCCCCUGCAGGAGCUUGAAUCCAGUGCUGGGCCGGACUUACCAGUGCCUUGCAAAGACCAGUGCCACCUCAGGAGUCAUUUCAGGCAAGUUUACUGGAACCAUUUCCUGGGAUUUCUUGGAGUUGCAAAAACACAUCCCUCUGACCCUCACUCUGCAGAAAAGACCCACUUCAAGCCCUGCACUGAAUGGGUCUUACCUUGAAAAAGAAUUUCAUCGCCUUCUCCUUUGGACUUGAAGAUGCAAAUAACCUUCAGGAACUACCUUGCAAGUUAGAUGAAGAAAUGCUCUUUGCACUACUGCUCCAAGAUGGGAAGCAAAUACCCACCCCAUGCCUUAGGAGAGAAGGGCAGUGGAUGUGCAGGCUGCUGCACCAGCUGGGUGUCAGGGUGUGCGGUGCCACCGAAGGAGCUGCCAGGGUUGAUUCUGCCUAGAGAUGGGAGGAGAGAGAGCAUCCUCACCUCUGUUCUUCCCUCUCCAGCCUCCCCAGGCAAACUUGCCUCCUUUCUGCUUUGUUUCCCAGCCUCUGGAAGAAGGGAACUCAGUCCUGUUUGCCCACAUCUGUUGUAUCUUGCAGGUGGUUUCACAGCAUGAGCCCGAUCGGGAGGAUACAAUAGCAGUAUUGCCACUCUCACACCAUGCAUUAAACAAACAUCCCAAGGAGCAAGGACACUAAAUAUAUAAUAUGGUUUUCAUUUCCUAUAUUUGCUUUACUAGGUGAAUAUAUUUUGCUUUACUGGGGCAUAUUUAGCUGUUAUUUAAACUCCUGUCCAUGAACACAAGGCUUGACAAACCCUUCUUUAUUAGAAUUAUCAGUAGUAUUACUAUUAGUGAAAGUCCAGUCCACUUUAAGGACUCCAAAGAGGUUAUAGCUUUAAUAACACAUAUUGGAACCUUCAAUAAAGUUGUGGGACCUCAUGAGGCUCUAAAAUGAAUGAGACUGCAAAUAAAUGCUUGCCCUCAGCGUGUUUGUAGUCAUUUUCCUGAAGAUAAAUUGCCUAAGGAGGAAAACACAAGCCAGCUAAAACUACUGGUUUAUUUCAGAAAAAAUAUUGCAGGGAACAUUACUGUCAAAGCAAAGUUAAACAUUCUGUCAAGCACGUGUAAGGACCUCAGGUCCCACUUCAACUGAGGAAACAUCUUUUCUGGCAUUAGUCUAGUAUAGCUGGGUUUUGUUCUGUAAAAUGUCAGAUGUUGCUCUUCACUUUCUGCCAUUCACAGUACUAAUACAUGGCAAGGAUACAGAAAGUUACAUUAUGUUAAAGAAUUGUAAGUAUCUCAAGAAAAUAUAAUUCUUCUUGGCUGCAUUCUGAGUCUUUCGUUGUCUGAGGAAGUCUAGGAUUCUCCAUUCAGUAAUGUUCCUGGUGUGUUUGAGAAUUAGUAAACUAGUAGGGAGAGAUUUUCAAAAGCACAAAUUACAGCCAUGUGGCCAUCUGCCAUGGUUUUUACAACUCAUCUUGGCUGGGUAUUUGAAGACAAGGUGCUUCCUUUGCUCUUCUCCUUGCUGAUGCUCAGGCUGAUGUGGUGGCUCUGGUAGUAAGAACCAUGGUCUCCUUGGAGCACUCUCCUUGGCACAGUCUCACAGACCUCACAGAUGAGAAGGUGAAACUCUUGCCCAGGAGUGUAGGUGAUCUGCCCUCAACGUAAGACCAGGAACUGACUGGGACCCUAAACUCACCACUGCUCUUUUGACAUCUGAGCAUUAUGACCUGCUGCUUUGCUGUUGUGCCCUUUUG
rnacentral:lncRNA from 12 species